UUCUUUUUGAAACCUCAACAACACUUAACUUUCCUUAUCUCUACCACAAUUCUUUUCUCUUCCUCAAUUCCCACUAAAACAUGAUUAAGUUCCUAACAUAUCCACACCCCACAAUUCUUUACUAAUAUUGCUUUUAAUUUUCUUAUCCCCAACUCUCUUUCCCUCCAUACACAUACACACACACACACACAUAUAUAUAUAUAUAUAUAUAUAUAUCCGGAUAUACACAAUUGGAACAAUAUAUAGUACAUGGACAACAAAUAAUAGAUCAUAUAGAUUUAAGUCUCUUUUUAAAGAAUUUUACAUAAAAUAUUAUUGUAAAUACUAAAAUCUAUUAUGGAUUCAUUCUAUUAUACUCCUCUUAAAGUAGAUAAUUAGUCCUCGUAACCAUCGCGUUUCUAGAAAUGGAUAUAUACUUUGAAUAUACACCACACUUUUUUUUUUUUUUCAAUGAUAUUAGUGUAACACAUUACUUAUACCAAUAUAACUUAACUAAUUACUUCUAAUAAUCUCUAAUUAUUAUUAAUUCCAAGUCCUUCUUUCUUCCUUCAAAUCUUUCUUUUAGAGUCUUCUUAUCCGUUCUCUAAUUUUUUUCAAAUUAAGAUUUACGAUCUUAACAAAUAGUAUCAAAACUUUUUAACUCUUAAUUUCUUUUUUUCUUUUUGAAUCCUUCUUCUUCAACUAACAAACACUCAAAUUUUCUUAUCCUCGCUACAAUUUGUUUUUCUUCCUCAAUUGCCUCUGAAACAUGAUCAAGUUCCGAGCAUGAUUAAGCUUAUUAUUCUUUGAUCGCUGAUUAAGUACAUUCUUUUGUACUCCUCUUAAAGCCGAUAAUUAAUCCUCAUAACCAUCGCUUCUCUAGAUACGGCUUUAUACUUUGAAUACAUACCGCAUUCUUUUUUUCUCCGCGACAUUAGUGUAACACAUUACUCGUACUAAUUUUUGGGCUACGUAUGAUAACUAUCGCGAAACUACUAGUGGGUAUUUAUGAUUAUUAGGGGAGAAAGUUGAUGUCGGCUAAUUUCUUUGUUUGUGUAGGUCAUAAUGGACGGCUCUACAUGAAGGAAAGUAGCAAUUGGGCAUGGAAAAUGCUAGCUGGGGUGCGCAUGUGCAGCAUGUUGGGUGAUGAUGUCAAAGAGGUACGACUCCUUAUCACGUUUUACCAUUGCUGACCUUUCCUUGUCUCCUCAUCACUUUCCUUUUCCUUUUCCCACGAUCCGUAUCAUCAUGUAUGUCUAUCAACUCACUCCAAAAAGAAAUAUGUAUCGUCUAUACCAAAUAUAUUGAAUAUAUACAUAUAUAUAUAUCAAUAAAUAAUAUUAUUCGUUAUUUUUAAGUACCUUGAUAUAUCGGUCAAGAAAGUUAAUCUCUAAACACAAGAUUUAACGUGAUUUGACAAAUGUGUCUACGUUUAUAAAUAACAUUGAGAAUAAAUAUUUUUUACUAAGAUUAAAUAAGAUAGUAUGUCAUUAAUAUAGUUAUAAGUUAUGUGUAGAAAAAUAAUAAGAAUUUUUCUUUCAUAAAACUCUCUAUGAUACAUAUAAAAUAUUCAUCAGGUUAAAUAUAGAAUAUUUUUUUUUUCAUGAUAAACGUAUGUCUUUUGGAAUGAACAUAAAAUAUCAUUCAGAAUAUAAAUAAGAAAAUUCAGAACCAAUAUUUGAAUCAGAAAUAAAUAUAAUUGAAUAUUAGUAAUUAGUUAAAUACAUAUUACUAAAAUCAAUAAUAUAGUAGUAUCAUAGUUAAACUUUUUGUGUUUUAUUUAAAAAUUACGAGUUUAAAUCUUUUUGAAUAUGUAAAUUACUAAAAUUGUGGGAGUAUUAUAAGUAGUUACUCGAUGAUUUAUAAUAUUUGAUUUAAUGUGACUGAGUAUUUAACUCAUUAAUAUAUUGAUGAGACAGUGGUAACCAAAUUAUGUUAAGUUUCAACGAGUUUAUUAUAUUUUUGAACGAAAAGAACGUUCUGGAACUACUAAACUAUUUUAUUUACGAUAUCAUAACUAGUUACAGACAUAAUUUAGUAUAUUUUUUUGGAAUAAGAAAACAUGUUCUUUAUAACUCUUUUCUGACUGUAAUUCUUAAAUUUUUAAUACUUUUAGCACAUUAACAAAUAUUUUCUUAUUUACAGUCAAAAAAAUGACCCAUAUCAAAAAAAUUUAGUAUCUAUUUCUUAGCUUAUACAUUCAUUUGUUCAUAUAUAUAUAUUAUUAAUCAUUAUAUUCAAAGAUAAAGAUCAUGGAAAAAAAAGAACAAGAAAGGCAAAAAGCAAGAAAGUGAAGGAAAAGCUCCUUUGCAAAAGGAAUCCCCCCAUGACCAAUGCUGACGGUUUUGUAAGCAGAGAAUAAAGUUGGACCGCCCAAUUUGUUUUUCCCCAUAAGAAAAGGAGACCAACCCCAUCAACUUUCACACUUUUUUUUUUUUCUCUCUCUCUAAUACUAUUAAUUUUUUAAAAAAAUAUAUUGUAAUUUACAUACAUAAAACUUAUAUAUGUGUGUGUAUAUAUAUAUAUAUAUUGAACCCAUAAUAGAUUUUAGUAUUUA
rnacentral:lncRNA from 1 species